AUCUACAGCCAUGCCACCCUGAACGUGACCGAUCUCGCCUGAUCUCAGAAGCUAAGCAGGGUCGGGCCUGGUUAGUACUUGGAUGGGAGAUCACCUAGGAAUACCAGGCGCUGUAGGCG
rnacentral:rRNA from 1 species